AAGCCAGCUGCAGAGGAUGACAUAAAUCAUGUCAGGUGUGGAGGACCCCGGCCUGACAAACGGGCUGAGAAGCAGCGGUUAAAUUCUCUCCUCAUCUUCUCUCCCAUCAUGUGGGGACUGAGCGUGAGGCUUCGUAAGAGGCAGGUGGAAUUUCAGUCAGAGGAAAGAAAUUCUCAAUUUUAUUAAAUCUUAUGGAUUUCAUCUGACUUGAGCCUGUAAGAUGUCUUAGUUUGUCUUUUAGAUCAUUAUUUUGAAACUGCUUUUAGAAGAAACUGAAUAUCAGUUAAUACUUUCGUCAGCCUAGGACUUAUUUUCCUAUAAUUAAAAAGAAUAAAGAAAUGCUUGAUUUCCUUGAGGAAGGAUGCGACCUGGGACGUGAGUACAGUGAGAGGCGAGAAGUAUCUUCGAUAGUAGCAGGUAGGCCUGUUCCUGGGCCACGACCACCUCCACAACCAAGGGAUUAAGAGGAGAAGUUCCAGAGUGGACGUCCCUCAAGGCUGAAGUGUUGAGGAUUGUAUUCAGAACUGGUGCCCUCAGAAGAAGAGGAAGAGACACCAAAAAGCUCUCUCUCCGUGCGCUCACAGAAGAAAGGCCAGGUGGGGACAGUGAGCAGGUGGCGUCUGCAAGCCAGGAGGAAGGCUCUCACCAGAAACCAGCCCUGCUGACACCUUGGUCAUGGACUUCCAGCCUCCAGAACUGGAACGCUUUGCGCCAGGAGGUAAUCAAGGGCCCCUGGAGGCCAGCGGGCUCCUCGUCUUCAUUGCCUGUGCCAGAGGAGAAGAGUUGGCGUAUCCUUCGUCGUGCCACAGCUGAGUGCACCCAGAACUACAUGACCUCCCCUCACGCUGCAUCUCUGCAGGGGCCUCCUCGGCGCCCUGUCGUGUCCUGGACCCCCACUUACUAGGAGUUUCCGGCCCCAGCAAGGUUAAGAUCCACUGCUUACCGUCACGGUUUCUAGGCGGGGUUUAGGAAAAACUCAGAAGAACUUCCACCUUCAGUAUGGGUCUUCACUCCGCAAUUGUCGUCGUCCCGUGACCCUGGACCACCUGAGGGGUUUCUCCACCUGUGUCCUCCUACAGCAGUGCUGUCUGAUGGAACUUCGGCAACAAUCAAAAUCUUCUGUAUCUGUUGUCCAGCGUGGGAGCCGCUAGUCUCCAUGUAGCUAUCAAACCCUUGAAACAUAGCUGGUGUGACUGAGGAGCUGAAUUUUAAAUUGUAAUUAAUUUUAAUUUAAAUAAUUACAUGUGGCUAGCAGCCAGCAGACUGGACAGCACGGUUGUAGAAUGUGUGCUCUGUGAGGGCACGGACUGUGUCUUUCCCAUCUUUAGAGCCCUCACGUCAAGUCCCACCUUCUCCUCCAAGCAACAUACUGUACCUCGCAGAAGACGUCUGAUAAAUAUCUAUUGAACUGAAUCCUGGAACCGAGUCCUUGCGGCGCCGUGAACUAGCGUGAGCUCCGGGGAAAUUUCCCUUCAUCUCUGUCUAUUCCUCCAUCUCUUGAUGAACCAGGCAUGAAAUUCUCUUCUCCUUCUGCUCCCAAUCAUUCACUUCUGCAAGUCCACACCUGAAGGAGUCAGCAGCCUGCAAACAGCUAAGUCUCAAUAGAGUCCAGGCUCACCUGCCACAAACAGAUGCAUGUCAUCGUCGUCCAUCUCCCGGACUGGUUCCCAUCUCAUCUGAUCCUGAGAAACAGGAAGUGAGGGGCCCCAAGAAGUGGAAACACCUGAUUUCCCAUCACUUUCCCGCUGAGUCACUGAGUCUUUCAUUGUCCUCUUUCUGCUAAGGUUUUAUUGUAGUGAUUUUUAUUGUUAUUGUUGCUUUGCUUUGUUUUGUGAGUGAAAUGGGCUUCCCGCAAAAUCUUAAGUGAGUUCUUGAGUGAUAUUUUUACAGUUGCUUGUUUUAAAACCAGUGUAAUUACUUGAUUAUAAAUAUUUCUUGAAAAAAGUUGGAAGGAAGACUCCAGGCAGAGAGAGCCACAGAGUUAUUUAAGGGUUGCAGACGUCCUUUCAAAGCAGUUACGCUCAGUUAUGAACGAUGUGCGCCCUGGAAGAUAAUGCUAGUUCCUCCAGAAAAGCAAGCCUUCCACUUUUAGAUGAGGAAACCAAGACUCAGGAAGCCUGAGCCAUUUGCUCAAGUCGCCCGAGAGCAGAGGAUGGCUAGGGCUCCCGUGUACGGUGGAGCAGGUCAUCACCACACGCAGAGGCACCAGCCCAGGGCAUACCAAGGCUGAAGGCCAGCCUGUGACCCACUCGCCAAGCCAACACCAGCAGGGCAGCACCUGCCCAGAGGGGAGCCCCGGCCUACUAUGAACAAAGGCACUACGUGGGCAUCUUCGGCCGAGAAUAGAACCUGGGCUCACAGCUGCUAAGCCCACACCAGGUCCCCUGGGCUUCACACUGCACUUCUAGCCAAGCACAGUGCCCUACCUCAAAGGGUCCCCUAAAGCUCACACCCUAUUCCCUUCUUUUCCACUGUGGGCUGGGGCUGGCACGAGGGGAAGACAAGAGCGUGGGAAGGAGCUGGAGGGAGGCCCUGUCACUCCUGGCGCAGUGGUCUUCUGGUUUGGUGCGAGGGGUAGUGAUUGGCGGCAGCAGCAAAGUGGCCUGAGCCCUCGGAGGUUUCCUGGCCUGCUUUGCGGGGGUCCCUCAGGGUGGGAGUCGAGGUGGCCCCAAGUGAACAGCCGUAAUGCCCUGAUGACGGACGUCACUUCAGGGCAACGAGCCAGCGGACAGGGAUUCUCGGGCAGACUCCACCACAGGCUGGCAGUGUGACCUUUGCCCGGCCACUUAACCUCAGAGCCUUCCACUUCUCAUCUGAAGACCAGACAGUGACAACAGGUGCCCUCAAGCCCUCCCAGGACCGGUGCUCAGAAGCAAGACUAGGAGAUUCUGGGGAGCGGGCAGAACCCACCGUCCGUGCCGGUCUUUCCCCUAUUUCCCUUUCCCGGCAGCAUUCCUUCUAUCCCAGCCUUCUGUCAGGAGGGAAAAGUGAGCUGAUAAACACCAACGAGCAUUGUACACGUUAGGGAUUAAAAAUAUCGAUUUUCCCAAAGCCAUCUUUAUCCCAAGGAAAAGGCAAGGAAGACUUUGCACAAAGGGGCGGGUCACCCUGGGGUGACUUUUAGCGGCAGAGGAAAGUUUCAGGGCUUCUCCGAGCCUGUAGACCACAGGAGGCAGCAGCAACUCAGGAGUAGGCUGCCCUGGGAAAGCGUCGUGAAGUGCGUCAAAACAACCACGUGUAUGUAUUUGGUGGAAUAUUACACAGUCGUUA
ensembl:lncRNA